UGAAAAAGAGGGGAUUCCUAACCUCCCCUGCCUUCCUGCUCUGGUUGGUCGGGUGGAUAGAACUGGGGAAAGAGGGUCCUUUAUUACAUUUAUAUUGUUUCCAAUCUCACUAUCCCAAGUGACUUCGAGAGGCUUAACAAAAAUAGAAAUAUAAGUAUCAAAACAAUCAGCAUUGCAAGAAUCGAAAGGCCAAAAUUUAAAUGCUUGCCCGUUUGCAGGUGACGGGACUUGUUUUAUUAUGAAGCAGGAUCUCGAUCACGUUCUUGAGCUGACCGGACCGGACUGCGAUCCUGUGUACAAGGUAGCUCCCUGGGGGAAAGAAAUAUAUACCUGCUGCCGAGAUGGGAUACUGAGGCGGUACCAGCUUCCCGAUCUCUGAUCCGCCUGGAGAUGUCGACAACGGAUUGCAAAUGCUGGAUUUAGUUCAGGGAUUUCUCUCAAUGACUGUUUGGGAAAGGGACAACGGAGAACCUGGUUUGCAGUCCUCUCUAGCCGUGUUUGCAAAGCUGGGGCACUUUAAGAGGGGUGGGCUUCAACUCCUCUUAAAAAGUGUCCCAGCUUCGGAUUUAUACAGUCACAGAGCUGACAGGUAUGACUUUAAGAAGACCUCACCCGAACCAGAAACAGGGCACAGAAGGGGGGACCCCCCUGGAAAUUCUGUUCUGGAGGUUUCUUGUUAUUAAAGAGCACCUCGCAUUUUGGAAACGCA